rnacentral:rRNA from 1 species
UCCUACGGGGGGCAGCAGUGGGGGAUAUUGCACAAUGGGGGGAACCCUGAUGCAGCGACGCCGCGUGGGUGAAGGAGUGCUUCGGCAUGUAAAGCCCUAUCGGCAGGGAAGAAGCAAGACGGUACCUGACUAAGAAGCCCCGGCUAACUACGUGCCAGCAGCCGCGGUAAUACGUAGGGAGCGAGCGUUGUCCGGAUUUACUGGGUGUAAAGGGUGCGGAGGCGGCUUGGCAAGUCAGUAGUGAAAUCCAUGGGCUUAACCCAUGAACGGCUAUUGAAACUGUCGAGCUUGAGUGAAGUAGAGGG